rnacentral:misc_RNA from 1 species
AAGGAGCACCACGAGACUUGAGCCCGCCCACAUCGUGUGGGGUUCGGUGAUUCAAGCGAUUCGUGAAGAUGGCCCUGGCCUGUAGUGGGUUCAGGGUCUGGUGCAAAUGACAAACUUGGCGAGCCGGUGGGGAAAUGCCGGCGAGGAAAUCAUCAGACACUAUUGGGCUUUGAGACAACAGGCCCGUGCCCUUUCGGGGGUGGCUCCGCGUUGGCGGGGUCGGCGUGUUGUUGCCCUGCUUUGGUGGUGGGGUGUGGUGUUUGAUUUGUGGAUAGUGGUUGCGAGCAUCAAAAGGUGCACAGGCUUUCGGGUUUGUGUGUCUUUUAUGUAAUGCAAAUUUCUGAUAAAUCCCAACCUUUCGGGGUUGGGUGACUCAUUUUUUUGGGUUUGGGGUGGAAAGGGUUAAAG